rnacentral:rRNA from 1 species
UACGUAGGGUGCGAGCGUUGUCCGGAAUUAUUGGGCGUAAAGGGCUCGUAGGCGGUCUGUUGCGUCGGGAGUGAAAACUCAGGGCUUAACCCUGAGCCUGCUUCCGAUACGGGCAGACUAGAGGUAUGCAGGGGGAGAACGGAAUUCCUGGUGUAGCGGUGAAAUGCGCAGAUAUCAGGAGGAACACCGGUGCGAAGGCGGUCUCUGGGCAUUACCUGACGCUGAGAAGCGAAAGUGUGGGGAGCGAACAGG